UACGUAGGGGGCAAGCGUUGUCCGGAAUCAUUGGGCGUAAAGCGCGCGUAGGCGGCCCGGUAAGUCCGUUGUGAAAGUCAAAGGCUCAACCUUUGAACGCCGAUGGAUACUGCCGGGCUAGAGUCCGGAAGAGGCGAGUGGAAUUCCUGGUGUAGCGGUGAAAUGCGCAGAUAUCAGGAGGAACACCGGUGGCGAAGGCGGUUCUCUGGGCAUGAUCUGACGCUGAGGAGCGAAAGUGUGGGGAGCGAACAGG
rnacentral:rRNA from 1 species